rnacentral:lncRNA from 10 species
CCCACUGCUACAAUGGGAGUAAUAUGAUCUCCCCCUUGGAUAUUAUGAACAAUAUCACAUAGGGUGUAUACACCCUUGUGACACUGAAGGUAAUAUUAUCUCCCCUCCUUGGAUAUUAUGAACAAUAUCACAGAGGGUGUACACUGAAUGCAACAUUGGGAGUUAUAUCAUCUCCCCCUUUGGAUAUUACGAACAAUAUGACCAAGGGUGUACACCCCUGCGACAUUGUGAGUAAUAUCAUCUAACUUCUUGGAUAUUAUAAACAAUAUCACAGACGGUAUACACCCCCUGCGACACAGGGCAUAAUAUCAUCUCCCCCCUUGGAUAUAACAAACAACAUCACAGAAGGUGUACACCAGCUGCGACAUUGGGAGUAAUAUCAUAUCUCCCCUUGGAUAUUACAAAUAAUAACACAGAAAGUGUACACCCAUGCGACAUUGGGAGUAAUAUUAUUCCCCCCUUAAAUAUUAUGAGCAAUAUCACAGAGGGUAUAAACCCCUUGUGACAUUAAGAGUAAUAUCAUCUUUCCCCUUGGAUAUUACAAACA